rnacentral:rRNA from 1 species
GACGAACGCUGGCGGCGUGCCUAAUACAUGCAAGUCGAACGGAAAGGCGCUGCGCUUGUUGGGUGCUCGAGAGGCGCACGGGGGAGUAAAACGUGAGUAACCUGUACUUGUCUUAGGGGUAACACCAGGAAGAUGGGGCUAUUAUAGCAUAGGAGAUCUUGCUGCGUGUGGGGGGUUGGAGAGAUUCGGCGGUGGGGGAUGGACUCGCGGCUUACCAGCUUGAUGGUGGGGUAGUGGCGUACCAAGGUUUUGACGGGUAGGCGGCCUGAGAGGGUGACCGGCCACAUUGGGACUGAGAUACGGCGCAGACGCCUACGGGAGGCAGCAGGGGGGAACAUUGCACAAUGGGCGGAAGCCUGAUGCAGCAACGCCGCGUGCGUGAUGACGGCCUUCGGGUUGUAAACCGCUUUCGCCGGUGACGAAGCGUGAGUGACGGUAAUGGGUAAAGAAGCACCGGCUAACUACGUG